rnacentral:rRNA from 1 species
AUUGAACGCUGGCGGCAUGCCUUACACAUGCAAGUCGAACGGUAACAGGGCUUCGGAUGCUGACGAGUGGCGAACGGGUGAGUACUACAGCGGAACGUACCCGAACGUGGUUGUUAACGGGGGGAAAGGUUUGCUAAUACCCCAUACGACCUCCUGAGGAAAACGGGGGAUCUUCGGACCUCGCCGGACCUUGGCCGCCGAUGGCGGAUUAGGUAGUUGGCGGGAUAAAGGCGUACCAAGGCGACGAUCCGUAGCUGGUCUGAGAGGAUGAUCAGCCACACUGGAACUGAGACACGGUCCAGACUCCUACGGGAGGCAGCAGUGGGGAAUAUUGGACAAUGGGCGCAAGCCUGAUCCAGCCAUACCGCGUGGGUGAAGAAGGCCUUCGGGUUGUAAAGCGCUUUUGUUGGGAAAGAAAAGCAGCAGGUUAAUACAGCGCUGUUCUGACGGUACCGAAAGAAUAAGCACCGGCUAACUUCGUG